ACCUAGGUGGAGGUCGGGAGCGUGUCCCGCUGCAGCCCUGUGUUGGCACAGGCGUCACGGGCCCACCCAGGGAGUCAGAGCCAGCAGUCCCGGAAGCCUCAUCGUGCCACUCCGCGGUGCCUAUCAGAGCUUCCUCUCACCACAUCCUCAGCCAGAGGACUCCCGAGUGGCGCUGAAGUGUCUCUGAAGGGGACACUUCCAGCACAGCGGGGAGGAGAAGUGGCAGGAGCGACAGGACACCGCCCACCCGCUCGGCCGGCUCCAGGACCUUCUGCAGAAAAGAGCCUCACAGGUCCAUAGAUGGAGAGAAAUGGGGGCCCAGGAUGGACGGUGCCCAGAGUCUCACCCAUUCCUGAUGUAGAAGAGAUUCCAGACGGAAAGUUGAGGCUGGAAGGGUGCCAGUAAAUUAAUCAAGACCCACGCUACGCUGAAUGGGCAGGGCCAUACUUCCAUGGAAGUAAUCUAAUCAAAGGCAUUACCCACAGUUGGGUGGGUCACAUCUCUAUGGAACCAACCAAAUCCAAAGAUUCCAACCUAAUCACCACUAAUAUACAACUGCUCCCACAUGACUGCAUUAAAGAACAUGGCACUUGGGGGGACAUAAUACAUCCAAACUGGCACAUUCCCUAAUCCAACAAGAUGGGAAUGUGACAAUGGAGGCGGAGAUGGAGUGAGGCAGCUGCAAGCCAAGGAGUGCCGAGGAGUGCCGAGGAGUGCCGACAACCACCCAAGGCCAGAAGAGGCCCGGAAGGACCCUCCCCUACAGGUUUCAGAGGCAGCCCCACCCUACCCACCCUUGACUUUGGAUUCCUAGCAUCCAGAACUGUGAGCCAAUGAAUCUCUAAGUUGGUGCCACCCAGCUUGUGGUCCUUAGUUAUGGAAGCUAAGAACAAGAAUAUUUUCUUAACUAUCCGUAAUACCACCAGCACACUCAAUAAAUUCAACAUUUAUUUUGAUACUAUUACCAGAUACACAGUCCAUAGUCAAAUAUCCCUAGCCAUCCCCACGGUGUCCCUCUUUCCUGGGUUGGCUGGCUGAUUCUCGACCUAGGAACCAAUCACCGUUCACAUGUUGCUUUUGCUUGCCAUGUCUCUUGUCUCCAUUAUUCCAGAAUAUUCCACACACACACCUAUUUAUUUUAUUUAUUUUUUAUCUUUCGUGAUACUGACAGUUGCCUGGAGAAUGUCCCCCAUUCUGGAUUCGUUUAUUUCCUUAUGACUGGAUUCAGUUCAACACUCCUUUGGCAAAAGCGGCACACAGGGACUGGCGCAUCCUUUCCACUGCCUCCCGCCGGGAGGUAUCGGAAGUCAUUUCGUCCUGUUACUUGUGCUAAGCUUGUUUGCAAUUAAGUAGUCACAAGGUGGGGUCAGGCGUUGUCACCAUGCUGAGGGCCGGAGGUCCCAGUCCGAGAGUCUGACAACUUCUCACCAGUGCUCUCGAUAGCCAUUCAGCCUUUGCUACUCAAAGUGUGGCCGAGGGACCAGCAGCUUCCUGGAGAAUAAAGAAUUCCAGGCUCCACCCCAGUCCCGCUGACUCAGCCUUCUGACUCAGCCCUGGUGCUUCAACAAGUUCCGCUGGUGCCCUGGAUGCACGUCAAUGCCAGAGACGGGCUGCGUUGAUCAUCUGGGCCUCACCAAGUGCCGUGCAGGGCUCACGAGAAGGUGCUCUCUCUCAUUCUGCCACAUCCUCGAUGUCAGGUGGCAUGCAGGGCAGAGGGGUCACUGCAGACUUAUGGCUUUGUUUCUGGUUCAGCGUGUUUCAUCUAUUACCAUCAUUCUUUUUGAUGCUCAAAUCAUCCCACGUUUGGCCAGUGGGAGCCUUUGGACGUCCCCAUCCUUCUCGGAGCACAUCCUUGCUCUCUGCAUAACAAGGUGCACCACCGGCUGACCCAGAAAUAAGGGACACUGUGGGGAGGAUAGGAAUAUUUUACUAUGGACUGGAUAUUAAGUAAUAUUAUUAAAUAUUAAAUAUAUUGGAUGUGCUGAUGGUAUUGUGGUGCUUUUCCCUGCUCUGGGCCUGGAAUCCGCCGUUUCUCCAAGGGGCUCUGGUCCCUUUCAGUGGGGAGGUUGUGUUCAUGGCUACGGGGUGUCCUUGCUCAUCUUCACACCAUGCCGUGUGCUACAUGUUAUCACCCUGUUCCGGUUUGCUAAUGCUGCCGUUUUGCAAAACACCAGAAAUGAAUGGACUUUUAUAAAGGGGGUGUUUUUGGUUAUACAUUUACAGUCUUAA